rnacentral:rRNA from 1 species
UACGAAGGGGGCUAGCGUUGCUCGGAAUCACUGGGCGUAAAGCGCACGUAGGCGGACUCUUAAGUCGGUGGUGAAAUCCUGGAGCUCAACUCCAGAACUGCCUUCGAUACUGGAAAGCUCGAGUCCGGGAGAGGUGAGUGGAACUGCGAGUGUAGAGGUGAAAUUCGUAGAUAUUCGCAAGAACACCAGUGGCGAAGGCGGCUCACUGGCCCGGUACUGACGCUGAGGUGCGAAAGCGUGGGGAGCAAACAGA